rnacentral:lncRNA from 1 species
AUGCUAGAUGAGGAGAGCGAUGAGGAGGGAGAUGGCCGGGGGAAGAAGACAAGGGAGAUGGAGGAGGAAGAUGAGAUGGAGGAGGAAGCAGAGGGGCAGCGUCCCCAGAGUAGUGGACAGAGCACUGAGGGAGAGAAGCAGCACCACGAGCAGCAGCAGCACCACCACCACCAACCGGGUCUGGCCACCGUUAUAGAGGAGACGGAGAAGGCACAGAUGCCACCUAGUGACCAGGGCGAUAUGACGACGGGUAGCGUGCCAAGGGGACAGAAGCGCAAGCUUGAGGAGGAAGAGGGGGAGUCGGCGGACGAGUCCACCAAGGAUUCUAACGAGGAAGAGGAAGGAAGCAGCUCAGAGGCUGAUGAGAUGGCCGCUGCCCUGGAUGCGGAGCUUAACGACUUCAUGUGACCGCAAUGAAUUUGAUUGGACAAAUUAACUGGAUGUUUGAUUGGAUGUUUGUGAACAAUAACUCACAGAACCCCCCCCACCCGAGUUAUCCCAGCAGCUUUUCAACUACGUGGUACCUGAGAAUCAUUCUGUCUCUACGCUGUGUGCGUGCUUGUGUUUUAUCAAGGUGAAUGUGUUGUACAGAAUGAAGAGGUAGGUUAGUACAGUAGGAAAGCGUUGGUGUGUAAAUAUAGUUGUAGAUCAUUUUUAGGGUUAAUAUAGAAACUUUCGACAAACACAUUUGUGGUGUUGUUUUAUUGUGAGAUAAAAAAUAGGAUGUUUUACUUGAGUUUGUUUUUCUAUUAAGACUUUUUUAUAUAAAUUCAACAAAUUAUUAACUUUAUUCAUUGGUCAUAUGAUGCCAAAGAGUUUGAACUAGGCCAAUCAGAGCCUGCAGCUAAACAUUUUACUCUUGACGUCACAUUCUGUGAUCCUAUUUCCUGUUGUUUUUUUUUAGGGGUUGAUCAUUAAAACGUUGUUACCGGCAGAAAGACUAAGAUGCCUGAAUGUGUCCCAUUGGCUCUUUUCCUCUGUUCUUCUCUACCUUGGUGUUGGUACCAGAGCCAUAUAUAGAGGUCGAUGUGUAUGUAUGACUCUGGUUGGUACCUUUUUAUAAAGUCAACUGAGCUAUCUGAGACAAACACCCAGGAUGCACUGCAAUAUCAACAUCAUCCUCAUCUUCAUCAUACCACUGUUAGUUAUCAGCAGUCUAUCUUUUGACUGACCUGGCUGAAAGCUCCAAGCAGGAAGUAUAAGAGUUGCACUGUGGCAGUCCUCCUGGCUCCACCAAUGAGAUUUGCCAGUCCUCCUGGUUCUGCCAAUCAGCGGUACCGGUCCACCUGGCUCCAACAAUGGUCUUGAUCAACAUUUCCAACACCAACUAAUGUGUUUUACUUCGAAAGAUUAGCUGGUCUCGACCAUAGAUGACUCUAGUGCCCAAAAGCCCAUUUUAACAUGGACAGUGUCAUUUACGACUUUCACCAUUUUGAACUAGUCAACUAGAUGGGACUUCCGAUGGGUUAAGGAAUGAUCACAUAAUUCCAUCCAGGUCAUCAGGAGGGAUCAGCCAAUGAAUUAUACUCGUAAGCGAGCGAUAAUGAUCCAUAACUCAGGUGGCAAUAAAUCGGCAACCUUGGCUUUAUAUCUGUUCAAACAACAGACUCCAGGUGGCAGUAUGCACCCUUUCAGUUAGUUUGCCAACUUAUAGAAAUGGUAGAAGAAGAAAAUUGACUACUUAAAAAUGGGCUCAAUGGCACUGCAGGUUUUCUGAGAUGCAAUAAUGGGACAGAUACAAUGAUGCCAUGUCUAUCUAAGUCUAUGGUCGAGACCCAAUUACCUGUCAAAGUUAUAUGGUCAAGACCCACCAACCAGGUCACUGCCACCACCUCCCCUCACUGGAGCCUGUGAUGGUGGGAUGCGUUUUGUUGUUUUGCUUUAUGCCAUUCUUAUUAGGUCUUACAGCUACUUCUGAUUUAUGUUUUAGUCAGUUGCAGAGUCAAUGAUUUGCUAACGGCUACAUUUCAGCCAGGUUAUAGAGUUCAGCAAGUGUAGUAAUGUCCCCUGCUCUUAGUAGGGACAUCAAACGUUCAGGCUGCUGCACAGACACUACGGAGGCUCUAGUCUAGGGCGCCUGGUUAAAUUGUGUUUGAGAGCAUUUUUUAACUCUCUAAAUUGUUAGAUGCGUAAGAAAUAGAUGCAAUAGUUUGUGAGUAGGAAACAUAACACCGAGUAUAUAAAACAUUAAGGGCAGCUGCUCUUUCCAUAACAUGGCGAAAGCUAUGAUCCCUUAUUGAUGUCACUUGAUAAAUCCAAUCAAUCAGUGUAGAUGAAGGGGAGGAGACCGGUUAAAGAAUGAUUUUUAAUCCUUGAGACAUGGAUUGUGUAUGUGUGCCAUUCAGAGGGUGAAUGGGCAAGACAACAUAUUUAAGUGCCUUUGAACGGGGUAUGGUAGUAGGUGCCAGGCGCACUAGUUUGAUUGUGUCAAGAACUGCAACGCUGCCAGGUUUUUCAUGCUCAACAGUUUCCUGUGUGUAUCAAGAAUGGUCCACCACCCAAAGGGUGGGAAGCAUUGGAGUCAACCUGGUCCAGCAUCCCUGUGGAACGCUUUCAACACCUGGUAGAGUCCAUGCCCCGAUGAACUGAGGCUGUUCUUAGGGCGAAAUGGGGGGGUGCCUCAAUAUAAGGAAGGAGUUCCUAAUGUUUGGUAUACUCAGUGUAUAUAUCAUCUUAAAUUGACAUGUUGAAUUAUUUUGCCAUAUUAAAUAAUUUUAUUUUCCUCUAAUUUCCCUAAUGUGGACACUUUCUGUUACUACCUUACACAAGCUUCCAUUUACACCCCAUAAAAUCUCUAUAAAAGUCGCUGGCCACACACCUAUAUACGGAUUUGACAGUCCGACUAUCACCUACCUACAUACCAGCCAACCGUUGUCACUGUCGAUAUCCUAUGCCGCGUCGUGAUUCGUUGAAGUUGACUAACAGAAAAAGUGGUUUGUUCCCUUUUCCAUGUUGGCAGCCUCAUGAAAUGAACAUCCGAUAUUCUACAAGUCUUCAUCUAACCAACCAUGUACAGUGCCUUCAGAAAGUAUUCACACCUCUUUUUCUAAAUGUCAUUGGUCUAGGCACACUGUACCCCAUAAUGUCAAAGUGGAAUUAUGUUUUACAAAUUUCAUUAAAAAUGAAAUGUCUUCAGUCAAUAAGCAUUCAAACCCUUUGUUAUGGCAAGCCUAAAUAAGUUCAAGAGUAAAAAUGUGCUCAACAAGUCGCAUAAUAAUUUGCAUGGACUCUGUGUUCACUAAGUGUUUACCAUGAUUCUUGAAUGACUACCUCAUCUCUGUGCCCCACACAUACAAUUAUCUGUAAGGUCACUCAGUCGAACUGUGAAUUUCAUACACAGAUUCAACCAAAGACCAGGGAGGUUUUCCAAUGCCUCACAAAGAAGGGCACCUAUUGGUAGAUGGGUAAAAUAAAAAAAAGCAUGGUGAAGUUAUGAAUUACACUUUGGAUGGUGUAUCAAUACACCCAGUCACUAUAAAGAUACAGAUGUCCUUCCUAACUCAGUUGCUGGGGAGGAAGGAAACCACUCAGGGAUUUCACCAUGAGGCCAAUGGUGACUUUAAAACAGUUACAGAGUUUAAUGGCUGUGAUGGGAGAGAACUGAGGAUGGAUCAACAACAUUGUAGUUACUCCACAAUACUAACCUAAAUUACAAGAGUGAAAAGAAGGAAGCCUGUACAGAAAAUAAAUAUUCCAAAACAUGCAUCUUGUUUGCAACAAUGCACUGAAGUAAUACUGCAGUAAACGUGCCAAAGCGAUUUACUUUUAGUCCUGAAUACAAAAUGUUAAGUUUGGGUCAAAUCCAAUACAACACAUUACUGAGUACCACUCUCCAUAUUUUCAAACACAGUGGUGGCUGCAGCAUGUUAUGGGUAUGCUUGUAAUUGUUAAGGACUGGGGAAUUUGCUUAGCACCAUUCUGUUUUUUUAUGCUGACAAGAGGCAAAAUCCUAGAGGAAAACCAAGUUCAGUCUGCUUUCCACCAGAUGCUGGGAGAUGCAUUCACCUUUUCAGAGGACAAUAACCUAAAACACAAGGCCAAAUCUACACUGGAGUGGCUUACCAAUUUACAGUUUUGACUUAAAUCUACUUGAAAUUCUAUGGCAAGACUUGAAAAUGGUUGUCUAGCAGUGAUCAUCAUCCAGUUUGACAGAGCUUGAAGAAUUUACAAUAAAUAUUAAUGGGCAAAUGUUGCACAAUCCAGGUGUGGAAAGCUCUUCGACUUACCCAGAAAAACUCACGGCUGUAAUCACCGGCAAAGGUGUUUCUACAAAGUAUUGACUGUCAAUAUUUAUGUAAAUUAGAUGUAUGUAUUUCAUUUUCAAUAGAUUUGCUUCAAUUUCUAAAAACAUGUUUUCACUUUGUCAUUAUGGGGUAUUGUGUAUAGCUGGGUAAGAUUAAUAUANAUAUAUGUAAUCCAUUUUGAAUUCAGGCUGUAACACAACAAAAUGUGGAAUAAGUCAAGGGGUAUGAAUGAUUUCUGAAGGCUCUGUAUAGAUUAUUCCAAGUUUCCGCGUGGUCUUUGAGUAGUGCUUGUUUAAACAGCGCUAUAGCAUGAACGUUUGCCCCCUGUCCUAUUGAUUUCAGAGUGAUGUGGAAGUGAUUCACAAAACGUGUGUUGCGUUACACGUACCACGUUGGCGACCCACUUGAAUCAAAAUGCAACACUUCAAAAUGGAGCUAGCUGUCUUCUGCAAGUUCUCCUCUAACCAGUGAUGUCCACAUUAUAGCCUUAUUCAGUGUGGCUUUUGAGCUGUUGGUUUUAACAGGAUGUGCAACCUCAUCUCACCUCUCUCGUGCAGUUGUGUUCUCCAGGUUGUUCUCUAACCAGUGAAUAUCUCCAUACCCCCACAGAUCUAUGAGCGAUUUAUUGCUACAGUACAAGUCAUAUGAUUACUAUUGUUGUAGAUGGUGCAUUUUGUGUUCGGUUUUCAAAAUCACAAACUGCAUAUUGGUUAUUGAUUUUGACUCUUUAAUAGUCUUUUGACUUUGGGCUAUAUUAAAAUGGCUUGUCAACAGAAAGCAGCGACAGCAUGAUUUUCAAUUGAACUUUCAACAUUAAUUUCCAAUGGCAUUGUACUUAAUCAGGUAAGAACUGCUGAUUGAGUCCAAUAAUGU